UUCUUAUCGAGAGAAGCUAAGGGACUGGCCCUAUGACGCUUCAGCAACCAACUUUGUGUCAGGUGCUAAAUCCAGUAGACCGUUUUGGUCGGAAGAUGAGAA
rfam:Lysinibacillus contaminans strain DSM 25560 Scaffold6, whole genome shotgun sequence.